GCUGGGCAUGGUGGCGCAUGCCUGUAGUCCCCGCUACUUGGGAGGCUGAGGCAGAAGGAUUGCUUGAGCCCAAGAGUUUGAGGUUGCUGUGAGCUAGACUGAUGCCACGGCACUCACUCUAGCCUGGGUUAGCCGGGCACAGUGGUGCAUGCCUAUAGUCCCAGCUACUGGGAGGCUAAGGCAGGAGGAUUGCUUGAGCCCAGGAGUAGGAGGUUGCUGUGAACUAGGCUGACACCACAGCACUUUAGCCCAGGCAACACAGUGAGUCUCUGUCUCA
rnacentral:sRNA from 1 species